rnacentral:pre_miRNA from 1 species
GAUUUCAACUGAAAAAGUUAUCAACAACAAAGUUGUAAAACUCAUCAAUAUAUAUAACUUUUAUUUUGGUCAUUUCUUCAUCCGAUAAAGCGACAGUAAUAUUGUUCACAAAAUGUAGAUACUAGAUAUCUAUAUUUUGUGAACAAUGUUACAAAUCACUUUGUCGGAUGAAUAAAUGACCAAAAUAAAAAUUGUAGAUCUAGAUGGAUUAUACAACUUUGUUGUUGAUGACUUUUUCAGUUGAAGUC